rnacentral:rRNA from 1 species
CCUCGGAUCAGUAGCAAUCCCCG